rnacentral:snoRNA from 1 species
AUGCAUGUCAGCUGACUCCUUGCAGAUACCGAAAACCAAGAAUUUACUUAAGGAUGACAGUCCACACUACAGAUGCAUGAAAAAAGUGUCCUCGUGCUUUCUGACUGUCUGACUGUGGCAGCUAAGAUGGAAUAGAGGAAUACAGUG